AUUGAACGCUGGCGGCAGGCCUAACACAUGCAAGUCGAACGGUAACAGGAAGAAGCUUGCUUCUUUGCUGACGAGUGGCGGACGGGUGAGUAAUGUCUGGGAAACUGCCUGAUGGAGGGGGAUAACUACUGGAAACGGUAGCUAAUACCGCAUAACGUCGCAAGACCAAAGAGGGGGACCUUCGGGCCUCUUGCCAUCGGAUGUGCCCAGAUGGGAUUAGCUAGUAGGUGGGGUAACGGCUCACCUAGGCGACGAUCCCUAGCUGGUCUGAGAGGAUGACCGGCCACACUGGAACUGAGACACGGUCCAGACUCCUACGGGAGGCAGCAGUGGGGAAUAUUGCACAAUGGGCGCAAGCCUGAUGCAGCCAUGCCGCGUGUAUGAAGAAGGCCUUCGGGUUGUAAAGUACUUUCAGCGGGGAGGAAGGGAGUAAAGUUAAUACCUUUACUCAUUGACGUUACCCGCAGAAGAAGCACCGGCUAACUCCGUG
rnacentral:rRNA from 1 species